rnacentral:rRNA from 1 species
UACGUAGGGUGCGAGCGUUAAUCGGAAUUACUGGGCGUAAAGUGUGCGCAGGCGGCCGCGCAAGUCGAGUGUGAAAGCCCCGAGCUUAACUUGGGAAUUGCGCUCGAAACUACGUGGCUGGAGUGUGGCAGAGGAAGGUGGAAUUCCACGUGUAGCGGUGAAAUGCGUAGAGAUGUGGAGGAGCACCAAUGGCGAAGGCAGCCUUCUGGGCCAACACUGACGCUCAUGCACGAAAGCGUGGGGAGCAAACAGG